CCUACGGGAGGCUGCAGUGAGGAAUAUUGGUCAAUGGGCUUACGCCUGAACCAGCCAAGUCGCGUGAGGGAAGACUGCCCUAUGGGUUGUAAACCUCUUUUGUCAGGGAGCAACGCCGGCUACGUGUACCCGGACUGAGAGUACCUGAAGAAAAAGCAUCGGCUAACUCCGUGCCAGCAGCCGCGGUAAUACGUAGGAUGCGAGCGUUAUCCGGAUUUAUUGGGUUUAAGGGGUGCGUAGGCGGAAUGCCAAGUCAGCGGGAAAAUCGCGGGGCUAAACCUCGCUCCGCCGUUGAAACUGGCGUUCUUGAGUGGGCGAGAAGUAUGCGGAAUGCG
rnacentral:rRNA from 1 species